rnacentral:rRNA from 1 species
AAUAGAUACCCAGGUAGUCCACGCCGUAAACGAUGAGUGCUAAGUGUUAGGGGGUUUCCGCCCCUUAGUGCUGCAGCUAACGCAUUAAGCACUCCGCCUGGGGAGUACGGUCGCAAGACUGAAACUCAAAGGAAUUGACGGGGGCCCGCACAAGCGGUGGAGCAUGUGGUUUAAUUCGAAGCAACGCGAAGAACCUUACCAGGUCUUGACAUCCCAUUGACCACUAUGGAGACAUAGUUUUCCCUUCGGGGACAACGGUGACAGGUGGUGCAUGGUUGUCGUCAGCUCGUGUCGUGAGAUGUUGGGUUAAGUCCCGCAACGAGCGCAACCCUUGUUCUUAGUUGCCAUCAUUUAGUUGGGCACUCUAAGGAGACUGCCGGUGACAAACCGGAGGAAGGUGGGGAUGACGUCAAAUCAUCAUGCCCCUUAUGACCUGGGCUACACACGUGCUACAAUGGACGGUACAAACGGUUGCCAACCCGCGAGGGGGAGCUAAUCCGGAUAAAACCCGUUCUCAGUUCGGAUUGUAGGCUGCAACUCGCCUACA